ensembl:lncRNA
UGCCCCCCUGGUAGCUACGGUAACCGCUCUGGGUUGACAGAUGUAUUGGAUUGCACUCUGUGUGACCAGGGGAUGUUUUGCAGAGGCUCAGGGAACGAGUCCCCCACCGGCCCGUGUGACUCCGGCUUCCUGUGCCUCGGUGGAGCAUCCGCUCCUGCCCCCACCGAUGGGGUCACCGGCGCUCCCUGCCCCCGGGGGUUCUACUGCCCAGCGGGGAGUUACUCCGCAGUGCCCUGUCCAAAAGGCACCUUCAGUGAGAGGAGCGGGCUCGGCGAGCAGUCUGAGUGCCAGCGAUGUUCUCCAGGGUUCUACUGCGCGGAACCGGGGCUGACUGCCGUGAGCGGACCCUGCCUGUCAGGCUUCUUCUGCCUUGAGGGCUCUCCAGACGUGACCCCGGUGGCAGAGGGGUACGGGGACCUGUGCCCGCCAGGCCACUACUGUGAGAACGGCACCGCAGCGCCCGCCGCCUGCCCAGCGGGCACACACCGACCCCAGACGGGCGGGCGUGGGAGGCAGGACUGUGUGACCUGCCCUGCAGGCUGGUUCCAGGACCACACAGGGCAGACGGAAUGUAAACCCUGCCCUGCAAGGUUCUACUGCCCCUCCCCCCAUCAGGAGGCUGGUGGGGUAGUUACCCCUGUGACCUGCCCGCAGGGGUAUUUCUGCCCUGGCGAUGCCCCUCUGGACAGCCCUGUGCCCUGCCCCAGGGGCACUUAUAGCAGUACUGAGGGCCUGAGCACUGCAGACGAGUGCUGGGUUUGCCCCGCGGGGCAUUUCUGCGGAUCGGACGGCCUCACCCAGCCCACGGGGCCUUGCGCGGCAGGCUUCCUCUGCCACAUCAGGGCGGUGGUGCCCAACCCUGUGGACGACAGCACCGGCUCCCUCUGCCCCCCUGGGGCAUUCUGCCAGGCGGGGAUCAUAGCAGGAGAAUGUUCUCCAGGAUACUACUGCAGUGGGGGUUCCACCAGCCCUGAGGGGGUUCUGUGCCCUGCAGGGUUCUACUGCCCCAAGGGUUCCCACACACCCUUCCCCUGUGAGGCCGGAACGUUCUCCUCUGCAGCGGGAAACAGUCACCGUGGCAACUGCACAUCAUGUCUGGCAGGAUUCUUCUGUCAGGGUGAGGGGGUAGUGCAGCCCGAGAUUUGCCCCUCGGGUCACUUCUGCCCCCCUGGCACGUCCUUGGCCCAGCAGUUCCCCUGCCCUCCAGGAACCCUACUUCCCCUGCCAGGGGCAACAAGCCCAGAGGAUUGCCUGCUUUGCCCCGCAGGCUUGUUCUGUGCUCUGCCGGGUCUAUCUGAGCCCACUGGCCCGUGUCAAGAGGGGUUCCACUGUUCCCCCGGAUCCAGCAGCCCAAACGGAACCGGAAUCACCAUGCAGAUGGAGUCCGAUGAAGGCUCAAUCUGCCCCACUGGAUUCUACUGCCCUGUUGGCACAUCCUACCCCGUCCCCUGCCCACCUGGUACCUUUUCCAGCACCCCGGGGCUGACUCGGGCCGAGCAGUGCCAGCCUUGCCCUGGGGGGCUGUGGUGUGGCCGCGCGGGCAUGACCCAGAUCGCUGAUGCUCUGCUCUGUGAGGGAAGAUAUGUCUGUGUGGGCGGCAGUGUGAGCCCCCGCCCUGGCGAUGGCAUUAUGGGAUACCUGUGUCCUCCAGGGCACAGCUGCCCAGCUGGCUCAGCAUUGGAGGUGCCCUGUGAGGCGGGCACGUACAGCUCCAGCUCGGGCGCUGCCAACUGCAGCCUGUGCCCGGCUGGCACCAUGUGCCCCUCCGAUGGCAUGCAGGAGCCGGCCCUGUGCCCGCUGGGUCAUUUCUGCCCCGUGGGCACGGCCUUGCCCCUGCCCUGCCCCACAGGCACUCUGGGGCAGAUGGCGGGUGCCCCAUCCCAGGCCUCCUGCUCCCCCUGCCCCACUGGACACUACUGUAACUCCCCAGGAGCCUCUCAGCCUCAAGGCCGAUGUGAGCAGGGGUACUUCUGCCAGGGUGGGGCCAGCAGUCUUGCCCCCCAGCCCUCCGCUGAGCUGCCCCAGAACGGACCCUGCCCAACUGGGCACUACUGCCCCCCUGGCACCCUCUCGCCACUACCCUGCCCAACAGGCACCGUCCGCAACCUCACCGGGGGCGUGUCCAUAGAGAGCUGCUUCUCCUGCCCCGGGGGGUAUUACUGUGACGGGGAGGGGCUGGACACCCCCAGCGGACCCUGUGACGCCGGGUUCUACUGCCCCUCGGACUCCUCCUCCACCACCCCCCACACAUUUAUGUGCACCAAGGGUCACUUCUGCCCCCAGGGCUCCCCCCUGCCCCUGCCCUGCCCCACGGGCCAGUACCAGCCCACCGCUGGCUCAGACUCCUGCAUCCCCUGCCGCCCCGGCUUCUACUGUGAGCAGGCAGUGGUGGGAGACCCCCUGGCCUGCCCCCCACACACCUUCUGCCCCGCAGCCACCAUGGUUCCCCAGCCCUGUCCCGACGGCACCUUCACCCCCCCUGGCCAGGGGGGUCUGAGGGAGGAGAGGGAGUGCCUCUCCUGCCCCCCGGGGAGGUACUGCAGGGCUGGCCAGAUUAAAGGCGUGUGUGCGGCGGGGUACCUGUGUGUGUCGGGCAGCUCUGAGUUCACCCCUCUGGAGCGCGUCCUGGCCGAAGGGGAGGUGUGUGAGUGGGGGGUGCAGUGUGCCGGAGCGUGCCCAGCAGGGUUCUACUGUGAGGAGGGCACAGAACGGGCGAUGCCAUGCCCUGACAACACGGUGCGCAGCUCUCCUGGAGCCAGCAGCCUCAGCGACUGCCUGCCAUGCCCACCCACACACUGGUGCAGAGAGGGGGGCGCUGUUCUGCAUGCCUGCCCGGUGGGACACUACUGUGACGGCGUAGCUGACUAUGAGUCAGGGGGCAGACCAGGACCCAGGAAGUGCCCGGUGUUCACCUACAGACCCACUCCCUCAGCAGGAAGCAAAGGGGACUGCCACCCCUGCCCACCGGGGACAUUCUGCAACUCCACAGGUCUCAGUCAUUACUCUGGGCUUCUCUGCCCUCCCGGGUUCUGGUGCAGUGGGUCCAGUCCGCCGGUGCCGUGUCCUGCGGGCACCUUUAGGGCGCAGCCAGGGGCAGCUGACGUCACCCAGUGUGAACCCUGCGACCCCGGCACCUACUGCCCUGACCCCAGGGCCACGGGCGUGCCCAACACAGCGGGCAUCCCCUGCAGGGCGUCCUACCAGUGCCCGGCAGGUUCAGCUCAGGAGACCUUGUGUCUGGCUGGGUUCUACUGCGGACCCCAGACAGGGGAGCCGCCGCCGUGCCCCCUGGGAUACAUGUGCCCACAGGGCUCCCACACGCACAGCAGUCCACAGCAGCAGUGCUCUUUCCCGUUCUUCUGCCCAGUGGGGAGCUCUGCCAAGCUCGCCUGCCCAGGUGGUUUCAUGCCCGUGAACUCCACAGGCCUGCGGGCAUCUCUGGAGAGCUCCUGUGUGCCCUGUCAGGCUGGCACAUACCGCCCAGCACUCGCCUCCGUCCUGCAGUGCCAGCCCUGCCCGCCUGGGUACCACUGCCCCGCAGGAGCAGAGAGCCCCAGUAGUCACCCCUGUCCAGCUGGAUACUUUUGCCCCCCGGGGUCUGCCAGCCCGCUUCCUUGCCCACCUGGUUUCUACGGCAACCGCACCAACCUGGAGGCUGUCGAGGAAUGCCAGACGUGCCCGGCGAGCACCUUCAACCACCUGCCAGCACAGACGGCCUGCUUCCCCUGUGGCAGCUCAGCCACAUCGGUCCAAGGCUCCUCGAGCUGCAGCUGCAUUGGGAGGAAGAGGGCCUUCCAGCCGUCCGACGGCUCGUGUUUGUGUCAGACGGGCUUUGUGUUCUACAACCAGCUGGACUUCAAGAGCUCCAGCGCAGACAGCCGGCUGGACUGCCAACCUGAGGUGAGUAAGCGCUGUGGUGGGGGAGAGGUGCGUCUGGCCUCGUCUCAGGAGUGUGUGAAGCCCUCUGAGUACUCCUGUGAUGUCACGUGUGGACCUCACAGCGGGAGACUGGAUGUGGAGCUGGGGAUCUGCCACUGUGAGAGGUAUGUGUCAUCAGAGGAGCUGUGUGAUGCGCUCUGCACCUCCCAGCUGCCCCUCAUCUCUGCCAGACGCUCCGCAGACGGACAGCUGCUGCUGGGGGUCAAAGCCCAGGAGGACAGCCACAGCUGGAAUAGAAAACUGGGCAAUGUGGUGGGCCCUGACACUCACGUCCAGGACAUCGGGAAGAUUCACUUUGUGCAGUUUGACUCUGAUGGAGUGUUUGGCUGGAUUCUUAAAGAUCCCAAGCUGAUAGACAGAAUGCUUAAAGAGCCUGUAGAAACUCUUGGCACUAUUCCCAGAAGGAAGCGAUCAUAUGAUGAUGAUGAUGAUGAUGAUGAUUAUGAAGAUGAUGAUGUCAUAAAGACGUCACUGCUGGAUACUCCCCCUCGCAUCCCCAACCCUAUUGCAUGCCUGUCAUCCAAAGACAUGCUCAUAUUCCAGCUCAACAUCAACCACACAGAUCGCCUCCACAGCCACUUCCCAGUGUACCAGAAGGACCAUCUCUUCAACAGCAACCCUAGCUGGGACUAUGGAGCCUUCAGGCGGCUGGAAUACCUGAUGAGACACACACACUUUAACUCCUCCAGGUUUGCCCACGUGUUCCCUGAGUCGGGCACGUUCGUGUUUGCAGACAGCGCUGUGCCCGAGAGGAGCCUGGUGGUGGUGGUGAGCGAGGACGGCUCCUCCUGCGACCCCAACGCGCCCCCCUUCCAGCCCAGCUCCCCCGCCCAGCUGGUCCGACACGGAGUCGCCCCGCGGCCCCGCCUCAACCUGCUGCCCGACUGGGGGGCCAUCGCAGGUAUCCUGGUGACCCUGCUGGUCCUGGUGGCGGUCGUGACAGGCACAGCUCUGCUGCUGAAGCCCCACAGGAGUCACCUGGUCUCCCAGGGCAACCCCAAACCUCGCUGGCGCAGUCUGGGACACCCCCCCACUCCCCUGGAGUACGUCUACAACGGGGAGAGCCUGGACGCUCCCUCUGCGCUGGGCCUGAGAGGGGUGGGAGAAGGAGCAGAGGCUGAGGAGAAAGCCAUCUGGAGAGGAGGCUGUAAGAGUGUGAGUAUGGAUCUGGAGGAG